UACAUCUAAUGUAUGUAUUAAACAAUAGAUCAGAUCUAUUACCUUGCAAGUUAGAUGUUCUAACCUUGUUGAUCUGGGCUUGAGGAUGAUGUUGCAAGCUGCACAUGCAUCCGACCUCUAGGAGUCGUCCACACGAGCCCACGAAUCUCGAUCAGAAGUCCUGCUUCAGGAAAUCAGCACAGUAUGCUAGUACUGCGCUGAUCCUUCUUUGAUGGUCGAUCAGGUGCCUCCUUCUUCUUGAUUUAGACUCUUCCAAAGAUGGAAAGUAGAAGGAGAAGUUUCAGAUCUGAGACACUCUCAGGAAACUCAAGAUGGAAGGAGGAAAGAUAUGAAAUAAAAACCCUAGAAGAAGACCCUCUUCUUCUUCACGUUUUUCUCUCUAGACACCCAAACUUGCAUCUUUUAUAUCUCCACGACCCAAAGGUAUUUCUCUCUAAUUUUUGGAUGGUAGAAAGGUCUCUCAAAUAUCUAUCUCUCCUUAAAA
rnacentral:lncRNA from 1 species